GACGAACGCUGGCGGCGUGCUUAACACAUGCAAGUCGAACGGAAAGGCCCUGCUUUUGUGGGGUGCUCGAGUGGCGAACGGGUUAGUAACACGUGAGUAACCUGCCCUUGACUUUGGGAUAACUUCAGGAAACUGGGGCUAAUACCGGAUAGGAGCUCCUGCUGCCUGGUUGGGGUUGGAAAGUUUCGGCGGUUGGGGUUAGACUCGCGGCUUAUCAGCUUGUUGGUGGGGUAGUGGCUUACCAAGGCUUUGACGGGUAGCCGGCCUGAGAGGGUGACCGGCCAUAAUGGGAAUGAGAUACAGCCCAGAGUGCGACGGGAGGAAGAAGUGGGGAAUAUUGAACAAUGGGAGGAAGACUGAUGCAGCAACGCCGAAGGCGGGAUGAAGGGAUUCGGGUGGUAAACCGAAAAAGCAUGUGACGAAGCGUGAGUGAAGGUAAUGGGUAAAGAAGAACAGGCUAAAUACGUG
rnacentral:rRNA from 1 species